rnacentral:rRNA from 1 species
GAAACUGCCUGAUGGAUGGGGAUAACUACUGGAAACGGUCCCUCAUACCGCAAAACGUCGCAGACCUAAUUGGGGGACCUUCUGGCCUCUCUGCCAUCAGAUGUGCCCAGAUGGGAUUAGCUAGUAUGUGGGGUAACGGCUCAGCUACGCAACUAUCCCUAACUGGUCUUAGAGGAUGACCAGCCACACUGUAACUGAGACACGGUCCAUACUCCUACAGGAAGCAUCAUUGGGGAAUAUUGCCCAAUGGGCUCAAGCCGGAUACAUCCAUGUCGCGUGUGUGAAUAAAGUCUUCUGGUUGUAGAGCACUUUCAGCGGGCAGGAACGCAUUCAGGGUAGUAACCUCGACGAUUGACAUUACCCGCAGAACAAUCACCGGCUAAGUCCUUGCCAGCUGCCGCGGUUAUAUCGAGGGUGUAUGUGUUAAUCGGAAUUACUGGGCGUGAAGCGCAUGCAGGCGGUCUGUCAAGUCAGAUGUGAAAUCCCCGGGCUCAACCUGGGAACUGCAUUCGAAACUGGCAGGCUAGAGUCUUGUAGAGGGGGGUAGAAUUCCAGGUGAAGCGGUGAAAUGCGUAGAUCUCUGGAGGAAUUCCGGUGGCGAAAGCGGACCGCUGGACAGGACCGACGCUCAUGCGCACAUCUGGGGGAAGGAUCUUGAGCAUAUACACUGGUCCUCCUCGCCGUAAGCGAAGUCGAUUUGGAGGUUGUGCCCUUGAGGAGUGGUGUUCUGAGCUCACUCGUGUAAUCCACUGCCCGGCUAGUAGGUCACUGCGUUAAAGUUGAUGAAUUGACCGGUCUCGCCCUAGCGGUGGAGCAUGUGUUUUCAUUCGAUGCGCGUGUAUAAACGUACCUGGCCUUGAUUUCACAUAAGUUUCCCAAAUGGUUGGUGCCCUGGGAAAUGUU